CAGAGUUUACAAACUCCCUAACCAUCGUGAACAUUACCUAUACCGUUGCCUUCGGCGGAUCAGCCCGCGCCCCGUAAAACGGGACGGCCCGCCGCAGGAAACCCUAAACUCUGUUUUUAGUGGAACUUCUGAGUAUAAAAAACAAAUAAAUCA
rnacentral:misc_RNA from 1 species